rnacentral:lncRNA from 1 species
GACGGGAGCGGCCGCCGGACACAGCCGGUAGGCGGGGUUGCGGGGCAGGCAGGGAGCCUGGGAGGGACAGGCGCGGUCCGCGGAGGACGACGGGCUCCCGCCGAGCUCUCCGGACCCGCGGCCCGCAGCCGCCGCCCUUCAGCAGCGGCGGUUCCCGGGCAGUUGGGUGCCCGCCGGCCUCGCCGUUACAAUUGGAGGUAUCUUAGGCGCGGCGGCUGGGCUCCGGCGACGGAGGCAAACGAGAUUGAGUCGGUCCCGGCGCGGGGCCGUUGCCUCUGGCUUAAUACGGCAGAUGCGCGGAAACUCCAACAGGUGGCUCCGUGGCGCAAUGGAUAGCGCAUUGGACUUCUAGAGGCUGAAGGCAUUCAAAGGUUCCGGGUUCGAGUCCCGGCGGAGUCGCGACGUUUUAAUUUUGUCAUCGGGAAAUUUUCUUUGACUUCUAUCUUUUAUUCCUUUCCUUUGUAAUCUAAAACAGCUUAACUCCCCGCACAGCCACAGACCACUCCGCUGCGCUCCUCAACCCUUAGCUGCAGCUCUGGGGGUGGCCUUCACACCGCAUUAACCUACCCGGGCCGGUCCCAGUGCGGAGAAGAGGGAGGCAGUAGAGAAUCCAGGAGCUGGAUGUAGGCCUAAAGGAGAGCGUGGGACAGGCCUGGGUCUGGAGUGACAUCUCACAUCUGGAGCUUGAGUGGUCACCAGCAGGAUCGAGAAGACAAGAUGCGUAGGCUAGUCCGAAGACAUUAGAAAUACACCACCUCACCCCACCCCACCUCCGGAAUCUCAAGUGGAU